ensembl:lncRNA
GUUAGUUUUGGGUUAGUUUGGGGUCAGUGUUGGGUUAGUUUAGGGUCAGUGUUGGGUUAGUUUAUGGUUAGUGUGUGGUUAGUGUGUGGUUAGUUUUGGGUUAGAGUUGGGUUAGUGCUGGUUUAGGUUGGGUUAGUGCUGGGUUAGUGUUGGGUUAGUGUUGGGUCAGUGUUGGGUUAGUUUUGGGUUAGUGUUGGUUUAGGUUGGGUUAGUCCUGGGUCAGUGUUGGGUCAGUGUUGGGUCAGUGUUGGGUCAUGCUGGGUUAGUGCUGGGUUAGUGCUGGGUUAGUGCUGGGUUAGUGUGUAGUUAGUGUUGGGUUAGUGUUGGGUCAGUGUUGGGUCAGUGUUGGGUCAGUG